CAUGAAGCUGGAAUCGCUAGUAAUCGCGGAUCAGAAUGCCGCGGUGAAUACGUUCCCGGGUCUUGUACACACCGCCCGUCACACCAUGGGAGUCAGUAACGCCCGAAGCCGGUGACCCAACCUAACCAGGAGGGAGCCGUCGAAGGCGGGACGGAUGACUGGGGUGAAGUCGUAACAAGGUACC
rnacentral:rRNA from 1 species